rnacentral:rRNA from 1 species
AUGCUUCUCCUAAAGACUAAGCCAUGCAUGUCUUCGAAUAAGAGGAAGCAAUUCUCUCUGAAUCUGCGAACGGCUCCGCAAACCAGUUGUAAACUAUAGCAAGCUUGCUCGGGUUGGGCUUCGGCCUGGCCUGGGUGAUACGGAUAACCCUGGUAAUUCUGAGGCUAAUACGUGUAUGGAACACCCGGUGGACCGGGCCUCACGGCUGGGAUAUCGGGGAGACGAGCGAUGGAAUGUUUGGAUUACCGAGGAACGGGCG